rnacentral:rRNA from 1 species
CGGGAAACUGAGGAUAAUGUUUCAUAGUUGAAAAGGCUUGGAAAAGUUUUUCAAUCAAAAGGAUAAGAAAAAUGGAUCUUAUUCGCUAUAGGAUAGGAUCGUGGUCGAUUAUGGUUGUUGGUGAGGUAACGGCUCACCAAGCCGAUAAUCGAUAGGGGCCGUGAGAGCGGGAGCCCCGAGAUGGGUACUGAGACAACGACCCAGGCCUUACGAGGCGCAGCAAGCGCGAAACCUCCGCAAUACAUGAAAGUGUGACGGGGUUACCCAAAGUGUUCAAUUUUGAACUGUGGUAGGUGAGUAAUAUUCCCUACUAGAAAGGAGAGGGCAAGGCUGGUGCCAGCCGCCGCGGUAAAACCAGCUCUUCAAGUGGUCGGGAUAAUUAUUGGGCUUAAAGUGUCCGUAGCCGGUUUAGUAAGUUCCUGGUAAAAUCGGGUAGCUUAACUAUCUGCAUGCUAGGAAUACUGCUAUGCUAGAGGGCGGGAGAGGUCUGAGGUACUACAGGGGUAGGGGUGAAAUCUUAUAAUCCUUGUAGGACCACCAGUGGCGAAGGCGUCAGACUGGAACGCGCCUGACGGUGAGGGACGAAAGCCAGGGGAGCGAACCGGAUUAGAUACCCGGGUAGUCCUGGCCGUAAACGAUGCAUACUAGGUGAUGGCAAGGCCAUGAGCCGUGUCAGUGCCGUAGGGAAACCGUUAAGUGUGCCGCCUGGGAAGUA